rnacentral:rRNA from 1 species
CCUACGGGAGGCAGCAGUGAGGAAUAUUGGUCAAUGGGCGGGAGCCUGAACCAGCCAAGCCGCGUGAGGGAAGAAGGUACAGCGUAUCGUAAACCUCUUUUGUCAGGGAACAAAGGCGGGGACUAGUCCUCGGGUGAGGGUACCUGAAGAAAAAGCAUCGGCUAACUCCGUGCCAGCAGCCGCGGUAAUACGGAGGAUGCGAGCGUUAUCCGGAUUUAUUGGGUUUAACGGGUGCGCAGGCGGACUGUUAAGUCAGCGGUAAAAGGUCGGGGCUCAACCCCGGCGAGCCGUUGAAACUGGUGGGCUAGAGUGGGAGAGAAGUACGCGGAAUGCGCGGUGUAGCGGUGAAAUGCUUAGAUAUCGCGCAGAACCACGAUUGCGAAGGCAGCGUACCGGCGCCACACUGACGCUGAGGCACGAAAGCGUGGGUAUCGAACAGGAUUAGAUACCCUUGUAGUC